GAUGAAGAACGCAGCGAAAUGCGAUAAGUAAUGUGAAUUGCAGAAUUCAGUGAAUCAUCGAAUCUUUGAACGCACAUUGCGCCCGCCAGUAUUCUGGCGGGCAUGCCUGUCCGAGCGUCAUUUCAACCCUCGAACCCCUCCGGGGGGUCGGCGUUGGGGAUCGGCCCUUUACGGGGCCGGCCCCGAAAUACAGUGGCGGUCUCGCCGCAGCCUCUCCUGCGCAGUAGUUUGCACACUCGCAUCGGGAGCGCGGCGCGUCCACAGCCGUUAAACACCCCAAACUUCUGAAAUCUUGACCUCGGAUCAGGUAGGAAUACCCGCUGAACUUAAGCAUAUCAAUAAGCGGAGGA
rnacentral:misc_RNA from 1 species